ensembl:lncRNA
CGCAAGGCCUCUCUGCAAUUGACUCACUGGGAGCUGGGCUAACACUCAUCCUGGGCUGCCUCCUUGCAGCUGGUGAGCACACUGCUGGGUCUCACCUGUGCAGUCUAGAUCAGCCCUGCUGUGACAGACUUCUGCUCAACCGUUGCUGAAGAAAGCCUCAGAAGUAGGAACAGGAAGCUUAUUCAGGGAUAGAAUUUCCCUCAUACAGAUCUGUCCUUCUGCGUUGUCCUUUCUGAUGCCUCACCUGCCUUUGAUUCCCUCACUCCCUGUGGCCUUAUCUUGACUCUGACUCUUUGACUUUGGGUGACCUCGAACAGUUCCUCCCUCCUGGCAGUAGAGCUCCGGUUUUCCAAGGCCCAGCCUGCUCUGCGACUAACCCCAGCCUGCCCCAACUGCCUGCCACCUGAACUUGCCUUUGGCUUUGGACAGUUGUCCUUGGCUACAGACCCUAACUAGUGACAUCAGCUACCUCGCCCCAGGGCUGACACAUCCUAACCUUUCUCUUUAUGUCCCUAUGAAAGGGUUUGGCAUUCUAGCCUAGGAAGGUCACUGAAUAAGACGCUUGGAAAGACUUCUUUUACUCUACCAGGAUGUGAGUGAUGUGUUGUGGCAUUGCAAAGCCAGAGAAAACGCAUUCAGAGAGCCCUGUGUAUACUUUUUCUGCCUUUCUUGGUGAGGAAGCCAAAGUUCAUAGAAGUGUAAGGUUACUCAUCCAGGCUAUACAGGGCAAUUCUUCAGGAAGAGGGACCAUUGGCAUUACUCGAAGUUUCAAAGACAGUCAUGAACAAUCUGGAACCCAGGACAGGAGAAACAGAGCCAUUCCCCUAAAGACUGCACCAAUCAAGUCUGGUCUGGUAUUAAUUUGAGUAUGUGACAAACAGCAACAUCUCUAAAUGGCAGGAAACAACAAAACGGGAAAUCUGUCAGCAUCUGCAUCAUGCAGGAGAUAGAACAUCAUGCAGGUUUUCGCCUAAUGAUUGGCUCCCGGGAGAGUAAUUAGUAAUUGGCGCACUUCUUGCUGGUGCAACCUUGGCUUCUCUGCCAGAGGAUUCUGAGAAAAGACCGGCCUCAAGGCCUUGAUUCAUGGAAAAAUUACUCCAGGUGCCUGGCUGUGGGCACUGUUCAGCUUUAAUACGGUGGCACUAACACUUAUGCCUUGCACCUGUGAUGACUGAUCCAGAACCAGCAUAAAGGGAGUCUAAGCUGAGAACGACUGCUUCGAGAGCCCUUGUUCAAUUCAACAGCAGCUCUCGACAAAACGCUAACCUCUUCCCAUUGAUCACAGCAUGUCUACGUGAAAGCACAGAUGGCCACAGUGGAGUCCACCCACAAAGCAGCUCUAAUAUGGAGAAAACCAACCCACAAUUUCAGCUCCAAGAAGGAGGCGGAGGAGAGCAUUACUGCCAAACCCCGGACAUCUGCCUGGCUGCCAGCCAACCGUCACAGUAUCCUCCCUGCGAACAUUGCAUGUGGCAGCUCACACCCUUGCCAAGUCAUGAAAAUGAUUACCCUACGGCUGUAUGGUGGUGAAAUGGGAAGAGUUUCAAUGACUCAGUUUUGUAAAACACCAAGAAAAAAAAAGACAAGUGAGCACAAGGAAACGAAGAAAGACCAACAAACUUCCUUGUUUCCAAGAAGCAGAAGCACUGAGAAAUGAAAGUCAAGUAUUGCAAGCUCUCAGUCAUAUGACCUGAAAUGAAAAGAUGGAGAUGAUAUGGAUAAAUCAAACGGGAAAGUAUCAGUAGAAUAUUUUUAAAAGUACACAUUUGGCUUGGGCAGGAACUUCUUGCUUUCAUUCAGUAACAUUAAAUACCCUUUCCUAAUCAAGUUUGGCUUAGUUGAAAUCAAAAUUAGUUUCUGUUUCCUGAGCCACUGAAAGCAAGGGGAGGUGACUUAGAACAUUAUUCUGGCUAAAGCAAUUGCAGCUUAACUAAGGACAAGCCACAAAGUAGAAUCCUACAUUCAGAUAAUAUGGAACUCAAUUUAACACACACUCUUUUUUAUUUUCUUUUCUUGUGCUUUUUUUUUUUUUUUCAUGAGGAAGAUUGUCACUGAGCUCACAUCUAUGGCAACUUUCCUCUAUUUUGUAUGUCGGACACCAACAUAGCAUGGUUUGAGAAAUGGUGGGUAGGUCCACACACGAGAUUUGAACCCACAAGCCCCAGGCCUCUGAAGCAGAGCAUGCAAACUUAACCACUACACCACAGGGCAAGCCCCUGACACACAUUCUGCAUAGCAGAGCUCCACAUUCAUGACUAAGACAACCCAACCCAAUAGCAACAGCAUCACCUUCCUUCACUCCCACCAAGUGAAAAUACACUGGAGAAUGGCUAAGCUCCAAAACAGUGAGUUGCUAAUCAUGAUGGUUUCCGUGCUUCUUUUAGAGGAAAUGAGAAGAAAUCCAAUGCCUGCAUGUGUCUUUUCAGGAAAUUGCUCAUCUGUCUAAUUAAGCUCUUCUUUCUUCAUAGGUCUGUGGAUACAUUCAGCAGACACGUGGCUUCCAGAAAACCUUCUUGCCCUCUUUCUUUUGGGCAUUCGAAGUUUCUGAUGUGAUAGAAUCUCCUUAAAAUGGAGAUUUGUGAAAAUUAAAGUCUCCUUUUAAUUUUUAAAAAUUAAAUUCUCUAUGUUAAGAAGAUU